UACGUAGGGGGCUAGCGUUGUCCGGAUUUAUUGGGCGUAAAGAGCGUGUAGGCGGCCAGGUAGGUCUGGUGUGAAAACUCGAGGCUUAACCUCGAGAUGUCAUCGGAAACCAUUUGGCUAGAGUCCGGAAGAGGAGAGUGGAAUUCCUGGUGUAGCGGUGAAAUGCGCAGAUAUCAGGAGGAACACCUAUGGCGAAGGCAGCUCGCUGGGACGUUACUGACGCUGAGACGCGAAAGCGUGGGGAGCAAACAGG
rnacentral:rRNA from 1 species